rnacentral:rRNA from 1 species
ACUCCUACGGGAGGCAGCAGUGGGGAAUAUUGCACAAUGGGGAAACCCUGAUGCAGCCAUGCCGCGUGUGUGAAGAAGGCCUUCGGUUGUAAAGCACUUUCAGUAGGGAGGAAGGUAGUGUAGUUAACACCUGCACUAUUUGACGUUACCUACAGAAGAAGCACCGGCUAACUCCGUGCCAGCAGCCGCGGUAAUACGGAGGGGUGCGAGCGUUAAUCGGAAUUACUGGGCGUAAAGCGCAUGCAGGCGGCCUGUUAAGUCAGAUGUGAAAGCCCGGGGGCUUAACCUCGGAAUUGCAUUUGAAACUGGCAGGCUAGAGUCUUGUAGAGGGGGUAGAAUUUCAGGUGUAGCGGUGAAAUGCGUAGAGAUCUGAAGGAAUACCAGUGGCGAAGGCGGCCCCCUGGACAAAGACUGACGCUCAGAUGCGAAAGCUGGGGAGCAAACAGGAUUAGAUACCCUGGUAGACUGUCA